UGCCGGUAUAAACUAUUAAUUUUUGGACAAUGUAGUCCCUGGUUGAAGUGUUAUGUCAUGUUUGAUGUUUUGCUAUGCAUCUGUCGCAGUUUGAUCUACAUUGAUGGCUAUUAUUGCAUUCUUGCCAACAAAAUGUAAGGGAGCUUUUGGGUCACUUGAUUAUAGUAAGGAAGAAAGGAGUGCUCUUGCCAUUAAGUCCCGGGUUCAUCCAUCAAAGUUUGGGAACUCAGACCGACAGAAACUAAUCAGAUUCAUGAAUAUAUGUUGAAGAAGGCGACUCUUGCACCUGAAUUUAGUACUAUGACUGACAACCAAGAUGCCUCACAACCUGUAACAGCUGAGGUUGAAGACCAGGCAAAUGCAAUUACCGUGACAUCUAUAGAACAUUUUCAAGCAGAAGAGAUGAUUGGGGAUGUACAUGAAUCACAUUUGAAUCUUUAUAUAACUCCCCCAAUAGCCUAUUUUCAUUCAUUAUAGAUUCAUGAAUAUAUGUUGAAGAAGGCGACUCUUGCACCUGAA